rnacentral:tRNA from 1 species
GGAGGGAUGCCGGAGUGGUCGAACGGGGCGGUCUCGAAAACCGUUGUGCGCGUCAGCGUACCGAGGGUUCGAAUCCCUCUCCCUCCG